rnacentral:rRNA from 1 species
GAACGCUGGCGGCGUGCCUAAUACAUGCAAGUCGAGCGAACAGACGAGGAGCUUGCUCCUCUGACGUUAGCGGCGGACGGGUGAGUAACACGUGGAUAACCUACCUAUAAGACUGGGAUAACUUCGGGAAACCGGAGCUAAUACCGGAUAAUAUAUUGAACCGCAUGGUUCAAUAGUGAAAGACGGUUUUGCUGUCACUUAUAGAUGGAUCCGCGCCGCAUUAGCUAGUUGGUAAGGUAACGGCUUACCAAGGCAACGAUGCGUAGCCGACCUGAGAGGGUGAUCGGCCACACUGGAACUGAGACACGGUCCAGACUCCUACGGGAGGCAGCAGUAGGGAAUCUGCCGCAAUGGGCGAAAGCCUGACGGAGCAACGCCGCGUGAGUGAUGAAGGUCUUCGGAUCGUAAAACUCUGUUAUUAGGGAAGAACAAAUGUGUAAGUAACUAUGCACGUCUUGACGGUACCUAAUCAGAAAGCCACGGCUAACUACGU